rnacentral:rRNA from 1 species
GGAAGGUGCAAGCGUUAAUCGGAAUCACUGGGGCGUAAAGCGCGCGUAGGCGGUUAGAUAAGUCGGGUGUGAAAGCCCCCGGGCUCAACCUGGGGAACUGCAUUCGAUACUGUCUGACUAGAGUGUGAUAGAGGGAGGCGGAAUUCCGCAUGUAGCGGUGAAAUGCGUAGAGAUGCGGAGGAACACCAAUGGCGAAGGCAGCCUCCUGGAUCAACACUGACGCUGAGGUGCGAAAGUGUGGGGAGCAAACAGGAUUAGAUACCCUGGUAGUCCACGCUGUAAACGAUGUCAACUAGCCGUUGGGAGCAAUUUGGCUCUUGGUGGCGCAGCUAACGCGAUAAGUUGACCGCCUGGGGAGUACGGUCGCAAGAUUA